GGGGGAAUUUUGCACAAUGGGGGAAACCCUGAUGCAGCGACGCCGCGUGAUUUAGAAGGCCUGCGGGUUGUAAAAAUCUUUUCUAUGGGAAGAAAAUGACAGUACCAUAGGAAUAAGGACCGGCUAAUUACGUGCCAGCAGCCGCGGUAAUACGUAAGGUCCGAGCGUUGUCCGGAAUCAUUGGGUGUAAAGGGUACGUAGGCGGGUAAGCAAGUUAGAAGUGAAAUCCUAUAGCUCAACUAUAGUAAGCUUUUAAAACUGCUCAUCUUGAGGUAUGGAAGGGAAAUUGGAAUUCCUAGUGUAGCGGUGAAAUGCGCAGAUAUUAGGAGGAAUACCGGUGGCGGAGGCGACUUUCUGGCCAUAACCUGACGCUGAGGUACGAAAGCGUGGGUAGCAAACAGG
rnacentral:rRNA from 1 species